rnacentral:pre_miRNA from 1 species
UUUAUUUUUUCAUGUCCAAUAUUUGACUAUUUGUUUUAUUUGAAUUUUUUUUGCUAUUAAUAUUUUUAUUGUUACUAGAUAAUAAAAUAUGAAUAGUAUUUUAUACGUAACUAUUUUUUUAAAGUUUUUUACAAAUUUUAUAAAUAAGACGAAUGGUCAAACAUUGGAUAUGGAAAAAC